CCUCCAGCUGUUUUCGGACUACAAUUCCCAUCAUCCCUGACCACCGGUCCUGUUAGCUGGGGUUGAUGGGAGUUGUAGUCCCAAAACAGCUGGAGG